UCUACUUCAGGACAAGUGGUUGAAAGGAAUACAAACUCUUGAAUCUGUUGGAUUUCACUAGUAAAAGAAAACGAAUGUCCGUGAUGAGGAGGGAAAGAUUUUUCUUCUUUGCAAAGGGGCUGACAGUAUCAUAUUUGAUCGGUUGUCAAAGAAUGGGAAAAUGUAUUUGGAGGCUACUACCAGACAUUUAAAUGAAUAUGGAGAAGCUGGUUUGCGAACGCUAGCCCUCGCUUAUAGAAUGCUUGAUGAGCAAGAGUACUUUGCUUGGAACAAUGAAUUUCAGAAAGCCAGAGCAGCUGUUGGGGCUGACAGAGAGGCAAUGCCUGAGCGGGUAUCGGAGAUAAUGGAAAGAGAGUUGAUUCUUGUUGGCGCUACUGCUGUGGAAGACAAAUU